UUCCAGUUUUUCCUGGCAACCAAACAAGAAAAAAAGAAGGAAGAAAGAAAAGAGAGUUUCAAAGCCAAGUAUCAGACUUGCCAAGAGGUUGGAUUUCCUCAUCAAAAACUCAAAUUCAGCAUCCAAGUUAUGGAACUUUAGGCCACAGUUCCAAGCCUAAUUCACUAUACCAAGGAGUAAUAAUCCCCUUAAACAUGGAUGAAAGAUGGCAUCUUAUUAGUGAUCUUCUUCUCAUCUUGAAAAGCACCACCAUCUUCUUCCUUCCUCAACUCCAAAGAUGACAAAACACCCAAGUAAACUCCUGCAUCUCGUUUGUGCUAACUAAUGGGAUUCCCUCAAAUGAACAGUUCAAAAUGCAUGAUGGAUUAAAGCAAGGAGAUGGAGAUCCUUUAUC
rnacentral:misc_RNA from 1 species